rnacentral:rRNA from 2 species
AAACCGGAGCUAAUACCGGAUAGUUCCUUGAACCGCAUGGUUCAAGGAUGAAAGACGGUUUCGGCUGUCACUUACAGAUGGACCCGCGGCGCAUUAGCUAGUUGGUGAGGUAACGGCUCACCAAGGCGACGAUGCGUAGCCGACCUGAGAGGGUGAUCGGCCACACUGGGACUGAGACACGGCCCAGACUCCUACGGGAGGCAGCAGUAGGGAAUCUUCCGCAAUGGACGAAAGUCUGACGGAGCAACGCCGCGUGAGUGAUGAAGGUUUUCGGAUCGUAAAGCUCUGUUGUUAGGGAAGAACAAGUGCAAGAGUAACUGCUUGCACCUUGACGGUACCUAACCAGAAAGCCACGGCUAACUACGUGCCAGCAGCCGCGGUAAUACGUAGGUGGCAAGCGUUGUCCGGAAUUAUUGGGCGUAAAGGGCUCGCAGGCGGUUUCUUAAGUCUGAUGUGAAAGCCCCCGGCUCAACCGGGGAGGGUCAUUGGAAACUGGGAAACUUGAGUGCAGAAGAGGAGAGUGGAAUUCCACGUGUAGCGGUGAAAUGCGUAGAGAUGUGGAGGAACACCAGUGGCGAAGGCGACUCUCUGGUCUGUAACUGACGCUGAGGAGCGAAAGCGUGGGGAGCGAACAGGAUUAGAUACCCUGGUAGUCCACGCCGUAAACGAUGAGUGCUAAGUGUUAGGGGGUUUCCGCCCCUUAGUGCUGCAGCUAACGCAUUAAGCACUCCGCCUGGGGAGUACGGUCGCAAGACUGAAACUCAAAGGAAUUGACGGGGGCCCGCACAAGCGGUGGAGCAUGUGGUUUAAUUCGAAGCAACGCGAAGAACCUUACCAGGUCUUGACAUCCUCUGACAACCCUAGAGAUAGGGCUUUCCCUUCGGGGACAGAGUGACAGGUGGUGCAUGGUUGUCGUCAGCUCGUGUCGUGAGAUGUUGGGUUAAGUCCCGCAACGAGCGCAACCCUUGAUCUUAGUUGCCAGCAUUCAGUUGGGCACUCUAAGGUGACUGCCGGUGACAAACCGGAGGAAGGUGGGGAUGACGUCAAAUCAUCAUGCCCCUUAUGACCUGGGCUACACACGUGCUACAAUGGACAGAACAAAGGGCUGCGAGACCGCAAGGUUUAGCCAAUCCCACAAAUCUGUUCUCAGUUCGGAUCGCAGUCUGCAACUCGACUGCGUGAAGCUGGAAUCGCUAGUAAUCGCGGAUCA